rnacentral:rRNA from 1 species
AGUGAACGCUGGCGGCAGGCUUAACACAUGCAAGUCGAACGGAAGCGCAGUGAGUGUUUGCUCUUACCGGGGGCGAGACGCGGGAGGGAGACGUAUGUAUCGGGAUCUACAUUUUCGUGGGAGAUCACGUAGGGAGACUUACGACAAUAUCGCAUAUGCUGUACGAGUGAGAGGGUGGGAAAUUUGGAGCUUGCGCGAUUGAAUGAGCGGCUGUCGUGUUAGCUAGUUGGGGGGGUAAAGGCCCACCCAGGCGAGGAUACGUAGCUGGUCUGAGAGGAUGGUCGGCCGCACUGGAACUGAGACACGGUCCAGACUCCUACGGGAGGCAGCAGUGGGGAAUGUGGGACAAAGGGCGCAAGCCUGAUCCAGCCAGACCGCGUGUGUGAAGAAGGCCUUCGGGGUGUAAAGCCCUUUUGUUGGUUAAGAAAAGCAGCAGGUUAAUACGCCGCGUUACUGACGGUACCGAAUGAAUAAGCACCGGCUAACUACGUG